rnacentral:rRNA from 1 species
UACGGAGGGUGCAAGCAUUGAUCGGAAUUACUGGGCGUAAAGGGCGCGUAGGCGGCCAAAAAAGUUGGAUGUGAAAUUCCGCGGCUCAACUGCGGAACAGCAUUCAAAACUCUUUGGCUAGAGCGUAGUUAGGGAAAACGGAAUUCCACGUGUAGCGGUGAAAUGCGUAGAUAUGACAUAGAACACCUAUUGCGAAGGCAGCUUACUACGCAGAGAUUGACGCUCAUGCACGAAAGCGUGGGGAUCAAACAGG